rnacentral:rRNA from 1 species
UACGUAGGUGGCAAGCGUUGUUCGGAAUAACUGGGCGUAAAGGAUGCGUAGGCGGUUAAACAAGUUAUAUGUUAAAUAUAUAGGCUUAACCUGUAGAAAGCAUAUAAAACUGUUUAACUAGAGUGCAGGAGAGGUAAGUGGAACUCCUAGUGUAGCGGUGAAAUGCGUAGAGAUUAGGAAGAACACCAGUGGCGAAGGCGACUUACUGGACUGUAACUGACGCUGAGGCAUGAGAGCAUGGGGAGCAAACAGG